rnacentral:rRNA from 1 species
GACGAACGCUGGCGGCGUGCUUAACACAUGCAAGUCGAACGGAAAGGCCUGCAGCUUGCUGCGGGUACUCGAGUGGCGAACGGGUGAGUAACACGUGGGUGAUCUGCCUUGCACUUCGGGAUAAGCUUGGGAAACUGGGUCUAAUGCCGGAUAGGACAGCUGUUUAGUGUCAGCUGUGGAAAGUUUUUUCGGUGCUAGAUGGGCUCGCGGCCUAUCAGCUUGUUGGUGGGGUAAUGGCCUACCAAGGCGUCGACGGGUAGCCGGCCUGAGAGGGUGUACGGCCACAUUGGGACUGAGAUACGGCCCAGACUCCUACGGGAGGCAGCAGUGGGGAUUAUUGCACAAUGGGCGGAAGCCUGAUGCAGCGACGCCGCGUGGGGGAUGAAGGCCUUCGGGUUGUAAACUCCUUUCGACAGGGACGAAGCUUUUGUGACGGUACCUGUAGAAGAAGCACCGGCUAACUACGUG